CCCUUAGAUGUUCUGGGCCGCACGCGUGCUACACUGAGUGGAUCAGCGGGUCAGGUUGCGCGAAAGCGUUUCCUAAUCUUUAAAUCCGCUCGUGAUGGGGAUUGACGGUUGCAAUUUUCUGUCAUGAACGAGGAAUACCUUGUAAGCGCGGGUCAUCAUCCCGCGCUGAAUACGUCCCUGCCCUUUGUACACACCGCCCGUCGCUCCUACCGAUUGAGUGGUCCGGUGAGGCUUUGGGAUCUGAGCGGAAAGAGCGUUUCGCUGUUUCUGCUCGGGAAACUCAGUCGAACCUUAUCAUGUAGAGGAAGGAGAAGUCGUAACA
rnacentral:rRNA from 1 species